rnacentral:rRNA from 1 species
CCUACGGGAGGCAGCAGUGAGGAAUAUUGGUCAAUGGACGCAAGCCUGAACCAGCCAUGCCGCGUGCAGGAAGACGGCCCUACGAGUUGUAAACUGCUUUUGUAAAAGGGUAAACGCAGAUACGCGUACCUGUCUGAAAGUACCUUAUGAAUAAGGAUCGGCUAACUCCGUGCCAGCAGCCGCGGUAAUACGGAGGAUUCAAGCGUUAUCCGGAUUUAUUGGGUUUAAAGGGUGCGUAGACGGUCGGAUAAGUUAGUUGUGAAAUUCUGCGGCUCAACUUCGGAAUUGCAUUUGAUACUGGUCGGCUUGAGAGUAGUUGAGGUAGGCGGAAUGUAUGGUGUAGCGGUGAAAUGCUUAGAGAUCAUACAGAACACCGAUUGCGAAGGCAGCUUACCAAGCUACUUCUGACGUUGAGGCACGAAAGCGUGGGGAGCAAACAGGAUUAGAUACCCCUGUAGUC